rnacentral:rRNA from 1 species
UACGUAGGGGGCAAGCGUUGUCCGGAUUUAUUGGGCGUAAAGAGCGUGUAGGCGGCUUUGCAAGUCCGUUGUGAAAACUCGAGGCUCAACCUCGAGACGCCGGUGGAAACUGCAAAGCUAGAGUCCGGAAGAGGAGAGUGGAAUUCCUGGUGUAGCGGUGAAAUGCGCAGAUAUCAGGAGGAACACCAAUGGCGAAGGCAGCUCGCUGGGACGGUACUGACGCUGAGACGCGAAAGCGUGGGGAGCAAACAGG